rnacentral:rRNA from 1 species
AUUGAACGCUGGCGGCAGGCUUAACACAUGCAAGUCGAGCGAGUGGCGGACGGGUGAGUAAUGUCUGGGAAACUGCCUGAUGGAGGGGGAUAACUCCUGGAAACGGUAGCUAAUACCGCAUACCAUCAGAUGUGCCCAGAUGGGAUUAGCUAGUUGGUGGGGUAAUGGCUCACCAAGGCGACGAUCCCUAGCUGGUCUGAGAGGAUGACCAGCCACACUGGAACUGAGACACGGUCCAGACUCCUACGGGAGGCAGCAGUGGGGAAUAUUGCACAAUGGGACCAAGCCUGAUGCAGCCAGGCCGCGUGUGUGAAGAAGGCCUUCGGGUUGUAAAGUACUUUCAGCGAGGAGGCGUUACCCGCAGAAGAAGCACCGGCUAACUCCGUGCCAGCAGCCGCGGUAAUUC